rnacentral:rRNA from 1 species
GGGCAGCAUGAACUUAGCUUGCUAAGUUUGAUGGCGACCGGCGCACGGGUGAGUAACACGUAUCCAACCUGCCGAUGACUCGGGGAUAGCCUUUCGAAAGAAAGAUUAAUACCCGAUGGCAUAAUUCUUCCGCAUGGUAGAAUUAUUAAAGAAUUUCGGUCAUCGAUGGGGAUGCGUUCCAUUAGGUUGUUGGCGGGGUAACGGCCCACCAAGCCUUCGAUGGAUAGGGGUUCUGAGAGGAAGGUCCCCCACAUUGGAACUGAGACACGGUCCAAACUCAUACGGGAGGCAGCAGUGAGGAAUAUUGGUCAAUGGACGAGAGUCUGAACCAGCCAAGUAGCGUGAAGGAUGACUGCCCUAUGGGUUGUAAACUUCUUUUAUACGGGAAUAAAGUGAGGCACGUGUGCCUUUUUGUAUGUACCGUAUGAAUAAGGAUCGGCUAACUCCGUGCCAGCAGCCGCGGUAAUACGGAGGAUCCGAGCGUUAUCCGGAUUUAUUGGGUUUAAAGGGAGCGUAGGCGGACGCUUAAGUCAGUUGUGAAAGUUUGCGGCUCAACCGUAAAAUUGCAGUUGAUACUGGGUGUCUUGAGUACAGUAGAGGCAGGCGGAA